rnacentral:tRNA from 1 species
GCCUUCGUGGUGUAGUGGUCAGCACACUCGGUACGUAUUCGAGAGGUCCGGGGUUCGAAUCUCGGUGAGGGUA